rnacentral:lncRNA from 1 species
AUGGCUUUCUCUGAUAGGGGCUCGCUUCUUCAAGCUCCGCCCAACCUAUACAAGGUGUUGCUCGCUUUCUCUCAGCCACCAGUGGCUUAUGUAGUGGCAUUCCUACGUGCUCCUCUUUGCCCCCUACUUAAGAAUCCAAAGGUGACCUUUGGCUGUUGUCUUGACGCUUUGGUUACGAAAGUUUCGAGGGUGGGUUCAUUGAUUAGUACACCUCCGGUGCUGAUAAGGUCGGGACCGUGGUCGUCCGUCUCAGGUUUGCCGGCCGAUAAGAUCUCUGAGAUUGACCAGCCAGCUGGGUUGGUUUGGCUAUUCCUUUCUAUUGAAAAGAAGGAGUCAGCUGUCUGCGUGAGUCACCUUCUUCUAGGAUCC